rnacentral:rRNA from 1 species
GGUCAAGUUAUUAAGGGUGCAGGGCGGAUGCCUUGGCACUAGGAGCCGAUGAAGGACGUGAUAAGCUGCGAUAAGCUUCGGGGAGUUGCACGUAAACUUUGAUCCGAAGAUUUCCGAAUGAGGAAACUCACUUAGAGUAAUGUCUAAGUAUCAUUAAGUGAAUACAUAGCUUAAUGAGGGGAACUCAGGGAACUGAAACAUCUAAGUACCUGAAGGAAGAGAAAGAAAUUCGAUUCCGUAAGUAGCGGCGAGCGAACGCGGAUUAGCCCAAACCAAUAAAGUUUUCUUUAUUGGGGUUGCGGACAUAUCAUAACGAAGAGGUAUCGUAAUUGAAGAGGUUUGGAAAGACCCACCACAGAAGGUAAUAGUCCUGUAUGUUAAACGAGAAGACUUUAGAUAUGAUCCAGAGUACCACGGGACAC